GUCACACUAUCAUUAACUGAAUCCAUAGGUUAAUGAGGCGAACCGGGGGAACUGAAACAUCUAAGUACCCCGAGGAAAAGAAAUCAACCGAGAUUCCCCCAGUAGCGGCGAGCGAACGGGGAGGAGCCCAGAGCCUGAAUCAGCAUGUGUGUUAGUGGAAGCGUCUGGAAAGGCGCGCGAUACAGGGUGACAGCCCCGUACACAAAAGCGCAUGUGCUGUGAGCUCGAUGAGUAGGGCGGGACACGUGGUAUCCUGUCUGAAUAUGGGGGGACCAUCCUCCAAGGCUAAAUACUCCUGACUGACCGAUAGUGAACCAGUACCGUGAGGGAAAGGCGAAAAGAACCCCGGCGAGGGGAGUGAAAAAGAACCUGAAACCGU
rnacentral:rRNA from 1 species